rnacentral:rRNA from 1 species
UCUAUACUUAUUAUUAGUUAUUUAUACAAUACUUAUUUAUUAUAAAUAUAAGAAAUCUUAUAAUAUUUUUAAAAUAUAGUAAUAGAAAAAUUUAAAUAUUAAAAAGUAAAUAUAU